GGGCCUGUAGCGCAGUUGGGAGCGCGCGUCAAUCGCACUGACGAGGUCGCGGGUUCGAAUCCCGCCAGGUCCACAA
rnacentral:tRNA from 2 species